rnacentral:rRNA from 1 species
AUUGAACGCUGGCGGCAUGCUUUACACAUGCAAGUCGAACGGUAACAGGCCGCAAGGUGCUGACGGGUGGCGAACGGGUGAGUAAUGCAUCGGAACGUGCCCAGUCGUGGGGGAUAACGCAGCGAAAGCUGCGCUAAUACCGCAUACGAUCCCUGGAUGAAAGCGGGGGACCGAAAGGCCUCGCGCGAUUGGAGCGGCCGAUGUCAGAUUAGGUAGUUGGUGGGGUAAAGGCCCACCAAGCCAACGAUCUGUAGCUGGUCUGAGAGGACGACCAGCCACACUGGGACUGAGACACGGCCCAGACUCCUCCGGGGGGCAGCAGUGGGGAAUUUUGGACAAUGGGCGCAAGCCUGAUCCAGCAAUGCCGCGUGCAGGAAGAAGGCCUUCGGGUUGUAAACUGCUUUUGUACGGAACGAAACGGUCCGGGCUAAUACCCUGGGCUAAUGACGGUACCGUAAGAAUAAGCACCGGCUAACUACGUGCCAGCCGCCGCCGUAACAC